GAGGAUUUAGCUCAGUGGUAGAGCGCUUGCCUAGCAAGCACAAGGCCCUGGGUUCGGUCCCCAGCUCU
rfam:Rattus norvegicus chromosome 10, whole genome shotgun sequence.